GGCUGCGGUGCUGAGCCCCAGCACGUACUGGGGCGUGGCCUGCAGCGCGGCGGGCGGGGUUUGCAGAAGUUUCUCCGGGCAGCUCACAUUUCACAUCGUCAUCAUGUAGGCACCAGGGCGCCAGGGACAGAAGUGGUACCGGUCCCUUCCGCAUCCUUGCUGUUCUCCCCGCUGAGGGUCUGAUCACUGCCGCUCUCAGGCACCUGUCUUGCCUCUCCGUGCCGGAAUGGAACGAAGACAAAGGAAUAAAAGAAAUAAAUAGUACAAGGAGAUCGGGUGUCUGAGCAGCGUCUUGGAUAAUACCGUCCACUACAGACCUAUCAUGUCCUUGUAAAACAACUCACCAGCAUCCAGAAGUUUCCUCACACGCAAAUAGCUGAUGGUAAGCCUCAUAACAGAAGCCUUAUCAAGAUGUGAGCUCACAUUAUGGGGAAGUGGCAACUGAUGAGCAAGCUCAUAAAAAACUUCAGACUCUUUACUUCGUCGAGAUCUGGCUGCAUCUCUAGACUUCUCUUUUCGAC